rnacentral:rRNA from 1 species
UACGUAGGCAGCGAGCGUUGUUCGGAGUUACUGGGCGUAAAGAGUGCGUAGGCGGUGUUCCAAGUCUGUUGUGAAAUCUCCCGGCUCAACUGGGAGGGUGCGGCGGAAACUGGGACGCUGGAGUACGGGAGAGGUAAGCGGAAUUCCUGGGGUAGCGGUGAAAUGCGUAGAUAUCAGGAGGAACACCUGCGGUGUAGACGGCUUACUGGACCGUAACUGACGCUGAGGCACGAAAGCGUGGGUAGCAAACAGG